UCCCUCAUUUUGCUUGGUGUGUCACCAUUGGAACAUGACCCCAGAUAUACUCCUACCCCUAUACUCUAAGAUAAAAAUCGCGUAUAUAAAAAGCCACAGAAACCCAAUAAAGCAGUUCUAGAUUCAGUGUCAACCCAGUUGUAUCUACUUUAUUCUGUACCUCUAGACCUCCGUCAGUAUCGCCACCGUUCUACGUAUUAUUUUGUUAAACUUGUAUUCUCUGCGGAAAAUACACUGUGUAUUACGACAAAUUGGGAUAGACACCGUAUUACUGAAGACAACGAAGCAUCACUCCCUGUUUCACAUACUUUAUGUCUAUUUGGGAAUCCGUCCCGUAACAAUAGCAAAGGUAUGGAGCGAGAUGAGGCACGAAGACUCGGUCUUACGAAACAGACGUGACUGCGAUAAGAACCAGCGCGCCAGUGGAUGCAGAUAGAAAAGGUAUGCAGCGAGAUAGGGCAAGAAGACUCAAUCCCAUGCAGCGGACGUGACUGCGAUAAGAGUCGGCACACCUGCAAGAUUAAGAUGGGAAUGGAAUGCAGCGAGACAGACCGCGAAGACUCAGUCGCACGGGUGCCCUCACCUAUUUGACCACUGACUGCGCUCUAUAAAAACACAGGCGAGGACCGCAGAAGUCAGUCAAUUAAACCGAAGUCAAACAGUUAGUUACUUUUCUACGUUCAUACCGAAAGUCAUAAAGUUAUUUAUCGACAUCGAAUUAUAUCCAUUAAGGAUACACCCACGACACUCCACUCCCACUCCAGUCGCUGAUAAGAAGAUGUAUAAAAGAGGGACCUCAAACCGCAGCAGUCACUCAUCAUUCCUCAGCCAUCGGGAAUCCAUCGCUCGAUAUUCGUAAACUUUUACUUUUUGUAACCUUCAAUACUUUGAAUAAAUCGUGAGAGUUGGGCUACGGCUCAGCUCUUCCUUUUUUUAUAU